UUAAGCUAGAAAGAGCGCAGGGUGGAUGCCUUGGCACUGAGAGCCGAAGAAAGACGUGAUAAGCUGCGAAAAGCCGUGGGGAGGAGCAAAUAUCCAAUGAUCCACGGAUGUCUGAAUGGGGAAACCCACAUGGAAAGACUCCAUGUAUCCAUGCCUGAAUCCAUAGGGUAUGGAGGGGAACCCGGUGAACUGAAACAUCUAAGUAGCCGGAGGAAAAGAAAGAAAAAUCGAUUUCCAAAGUAGCGGCGAGCGAAAUGGAAAGAGCCCAAACCGUCAUGCGUGCAUGGCGGGGUUCGGACUGCGGACGUGACUUUAAAGGACAGGAGAAUGGCACUGGAAAGACCAGCCAGAGAGGGUGAAAGCCCCGUAGCCGAAGUCGGAUAAAGCACAGCAGGAUCCAGAGUACCACGAGACACGUGAAACCUUGUGGGAAUGAGCGGGGACCACCCCGUAAGGCUAAAUACUCCUCAGUGACCGAUAGUGCACAGUACUGUGAAGGAAAGGUGAAAAGGACCCCGGGAGGGGAGUGAAAAAGAACCUGAAACCCUGUGUUUACAAACUGUGGGAGCACCAUAUGAGUGCAACCGCGUACUUUUUGUAGAACGGUCCGGCGAGUUGCGGGCUCUGGCAAGGUUAAGUACUUAAGGUAUGGAGCCGAAGGGAAACCAAGUCUUAAGAGGGCGAAUAAGUCAGAGGACGCAGACCCGAAACCGGGUGACCUACCCAUGUCCAGGAUGAAGCUGCCGUAAGAGGCAGUGGAGGUCCGAACCCACAUCCGUUGAAAAGGGUGGGGAUGAGGUGUGGGUAGGGGAGAAAUUCCAAUCGAACCCGGAGAUAGCUGGUUCUCCUCGAAAUAGCUUUAGGGCUAGCCUCGUUUUAGCCGGAUGGAGGUAGAGCACUGAAUACCCUAGGGGGCGUCAAAGCCUACCGAAGGUUAUCAAACUCCGAAUGCCAUGCCGGUGAUGAACGGGAGUCAGACUGCACGAGAUAAGUUGGGCAGUCGAAAGGGAAAGAGCCCAGACCCACAGCUAAGGUCCCAAAGUACGUGUUAAGUGGAAAAGGAUGUGGGAUCUCUAAGACAGCUAGGAUGUUGGCUCAGAAGCAGCCACACAUUCAAAGAGUGCGUAAUAGCUCACUAGUCGAGAGGUCCUGCGCCGAAAAUGUCCGGGGCUGAAACACGGCACCGAAGCUAGGGAAUAUAUGGAAAUAUAUUGGUAGAGGAGCAUUGCUGACACGAAGAAGCCGUACUGUAAGGAGCGGUGGAGCGUCAGGAAGAGAGAAUGCCGGAAUGAGUAGCGAGAAAGAGGUGAGAAUCCUCUUGGCCGAAUAUCCAAGGAUUCCAGGGUAAAGCUGAUCUGCCCUGGGUAAGUCGGGGCCUAAGGCGAGGCGAAAGAGCGUAGCCGAUGGACAACAGGUGGAGAUUCCUGUACUGCUGUAUGACAGAACUGUGGGGACGCAUGCAGAGAGCGUGAGCCGGGAACGGAGAGACCGGUGCAAGUGAGGUAGGAGAAGGGAAGGUAAAUCCGUCCUUCAAUCCGAAGACACGACGCGGAGCGAACAAAAGUAGCGAAGCACGUAAGCUGUGUGCCAAGAAAAGCCGCUAUUGUUCAUACAGUACCCGUACCGUAAACCGACACAGGUGGAUGAGGAGAGAAUCCUAAGGCCGGCGGGAGAAGCAUUGUCAAGGAACUCGGCAAAAUGGCCCCGUAACUUCGGGAGAAGGGGCGCCACAGAGAUGUGGCCGCAGAGAAUAGGCUCAGGCAACUGUUUAGCAAAAACACAGGUCUAUGCGAAACCGAAAGGUGAGGUAUAUGGGCUGACGCCUGCCCGGUGCCGGAAGGUUAAGAGGAGAGGUCAGCUGGAUGAAUACAUCCGGCGAAGCUUUGAAUUUAAGCCCCGGUAAACGGCGGCCGUAACUAUAACGGUCCUAAGGUAGCGAAAUUCCUUGUCGGGU
rnacentral:rRNA from 1 species